CCUACGGGAGGCAGCAGUUUCGAAUCGUUCACAAUGGGGGCAACCCUGAUGGCGCGACGCCGCGUGGGGGAUGAAGGUCUUCGGAUUGUAAACUCCUGUCAUUGGGGACUAAUGGCCAGGCUCAUACCCUGGUUUGAAUUAACCCCAAAGAGGAAGCAGUGGCUAACUCUGUGCCAGCAGCCGCGGUAAUACAGAGACUGCAAGCGUUACUCGGAUUCACUGGGCGUAAAGGGAGCGCAGGCGGACUCAUGUGUCGGACGUGAAAUACCGGGGCUUAACCCCGGUGCUGCGUCCGAAACUAUGAGUCUAGAGACUUGGAGGGGUAAGCGGAAUUCUUGGUGGAGCAGUGAAAUGCGUAGAUAUCAAGAGGAACACCAACGGCGAAGGCAGCUUACUGGACAAGAUCUGACGCUCAGGCUCGAAAGCGUGGGGAGCAAAAGGGGAUUAGAUACCCCUGUAGUCCACGCUGUAAACGGUGCGCAUUAGGUCUUGGAGCUUUCGAACGCUCCAGGGCUCAGCUAACGCGAUAAAUGCGCCGCCUGAAGGCUACGGCCGCAAGGCUUAAAACGUCAAGGAUUGACGG
rnacentral:rRNA from 1 species